rnacentral:misc_RNA from 1 species
AUGAAGAACGCAGCGAAAUGCGAUAAGUAAUGUGAAUUGCAGAAUUCAGUGAAUCAUCGAAUCUUUGAACGCACAUUGCGCCCGCCAGUAUUCUGGCGGGCAUGCCUGUUCGAGCGUCAUUUCAACCAUCAAGCCCCCGGCUUGUGUUGGGGACCUGCGGCUGCCGCAGGCCCUGAAAACCAGUGGCGGGCUCGCUAGUCACUCCGAGCGUAGUAAUACAUCUCGCUCAGGGCGUGCUGCGGGUUCCGGCCGUUAAAAGCCUUAUUUACCCAAGGUUGACCUCGGAUCAGGUAGGAAGACCCGCUGAACUUAAGCAUAUCAAUAAGCGGAGGA